rnacentral:misc_RNA from 1 species
UCUUUUUGCCAUCUCCUGGCUCACAACUGGCGUCUGGAAUAGAGGACGUGCGUCACGCGCCUGCUCAGAUGUCGGCGCGCUUCAUAUCGAGAGCCCCCUCACCGUUCAUACUAGCGGCUAGCAGGGCGCAGUCGUGGGUGGACGUGCUGCGAGCCUACUCCAAGUGCUGCGACUACCUACAAGGAGUCUAUCAGCCCACGUGUGUAGAGCUGGAGCACGGCCUGUCGUACAUGCCAAACUCACAGAGCACGUCCUUGUUCUACUACGGUCUCAUCAAGGCCCCGAUAGCCCCUGCUACACCAGACAAGAGUCUCGUCCAGGUAGUGCUGAGACGCUACAAGGAGUGUGGAAGCGUUGCAGCGCUUCGGCGCGUUAUCCAGGAAGAUGUGAACAGCGCAACCUUGGAAGGCGCAAGAGGGAAGCUCGCGCUGGCGUCCACUGCUGGUCUCUGGGAAGCGGCCCUCGAGACCUUGCUGAGUCAUCCGCCGCUGAUUGACAGCACAGUGCAGCGCCGUGUUGUGCUCUCAACACUGUGCAACAGCAACCAGUGGCGCUUGGCUCUUGGUGUGCUGUAUAUGGAACCGAAAGUGGAUCUGCACCCCAUCAUGGUUCGGCCGCUCGUACGAUGCUUCGGCCGCCUGCACGACCACCACUCUGCACUAAGACUAACAGCGGCAGCCCUGGCGGCUGGACACUCGAUGAGCUCGCCUCUUUUCUCGGCGCUUUUGCCGACACUCCAGGAGACGGGAAAGUGGCAGCUAGCUCUGCAUGUAGCGCACAAGCUGCAGCUACUUUCAGCCACACGGGCGGAAGCGCGCACCAACGUAUCGAUCUACAAUCAGCUGGUGGACUGCCUCUACGAAGCCGACGUCUACGCGGCCUUUCCCCUGGAGGAUGUGAUUCAACAAAUCGUGGAUCGCAUGCGUCCCCGAGAGUUGGAGGAGAGGCAUAGGAAAAGCCGAGCAAAGCAGUUCCGGCUGCAUUCACCGGUAGAUGUCUUCCAGCAGUUUCAGAGCGUUCUUAUGGCACUGACAACCGUGUACAGCAAGGCCAUGGGUGUGCCUCGCUGGUAUUCUCGCUCCAUCGGCAGCGUUGUAGACAGCGCCUUGCAGAAGAACACGGCUCUCCUUGUGCUUGACACGAACUUUUUGCUGCAGUUAGUGAAGAAACAGCUGCCGCUCGAGCACUUCUACGCGUACAUGAAGCAGCAGUAUCCGAAUCUGCGACAGUACCACUUUUCCACGGUGGUCGUUCCCUUCACUACCGUGUCCGAAGCUCACGCGCACAUCUGGGGCCCGAAAGAGCACUUCCCCGUCGAUGUGCGAAAGCUGUUAUGGUCACGGGCUGUGAGCCUGCUCCAGCAGCCCAAUGUGUACGUCUUGUCCAUUGCUGGAGAGUACCCGUGCUCUUCCCUGAACAUCAUCCCGCGGCUGGCAUAUCGGACAAUGCCCGGCAACGUUGCCGGCGCUUUUCAGCGCGAUCCUGACCUUCGAAUUUUGAGCGUGUGUGCGACGCUCCAGCACUACUUACGAACGGCGAAGGUCACCGAGAACUUGGGAGGAUCAACGGUGCCAGAGGGUGUGGCCCUCUUCUCGCUACUCAAGUAUCAUGUGCGGCGCUACUGCAACACAGUGAAGGGGCCCUGUGUGGACCGCUUGCUUCUCUGCACCUUGGACAAGCGGAUGUCACGCGGUGCUGUACAGAUGGGCGUACGAGUGUUCCCUUGCUUGUCCCCCUAGGCUUGCAGCACCACGGUGUUUUGUGCCGUAUUUGUCCACUUCCCGUGCACCUGUGAGGCGGCGCUGGGCACCGGAUACGAUGCCGACAUUUUGUCAUGGAUGUGCCGCUCUGCUCUCUGUAGCGCUGUGUCUUUGUGCCUCUUCAAUCUCUACGCAAGUGCUUGGCGGCAUUCGAGUGCGGCUCGUCCGGUACUGCUGUCUCGCGCCUCUCCCUCACCGUCUUCCUCGCGCUGCCUACCUACCCUGACGGCGGGAAUCUCAUCUGCCCCUCUUACUCUCUCACAGAACAACAGCAGCAAC